rnacentral:tRNA from 1 species
GGUAAAGUGGCUGAGUCAAGCGGUAAAUUGUAAAUUUACUUACGAAAUAAUUAUUUCCUUUAUCA